rnacentral:rRNA from 1 species
UACGGGGGGUGCAAACGUUGCUCGGAAUCAUUGGGCGUAAAGCGCACGUAGGCGGUCUGAAAAGUCGGAUGUGAAAGCCCUCGGCUCAACCGAGGAAGUGCAUUCGAAACUGCCAGACUUGAAUAUGGAAGAGGGUCGCGGAAUUCCCGGUGUAGAGGUGAAAUUCGUAGAUAUCGGGAGGAACACCAGUGGCGAAGGCGGCGACCUGGGCCAAUAUUGACGCUGAGGUGCGAAAGCGUGGGGAGCAAACAGG